AUCCUUCUGUAGUUCAUAAGCGAGAUGAUUGGGUCUUCAUACUUGUGUCUGAGAUGUGCCUCCCACUAAACCUUGUAACGACUGUGGCACAUUACCCAUCUGACA